AAAAAGACAAAACUUGGAUUUCCGUGUCCAAUGUUUAACCAUUCGUCUUAUUUAAAAAAAUAUGAAAGAAAUUAAAAAGACAAGUCACGCAUAAAAUAUUAAUCAUGUUUUAUCAUCUAACAACAAUGAAAAUACUAAUUAUAAAAAAAAUUUCAUAUAAAACGGACAGUCAAAUGUUAGACACGGAAAUCCAGGGUUUGCCUUUUC
rnacentral:pre_miRNA from 1 species